UACGGGGGGGGCAAGCGUUGUUCGGAAUUACUGGGCGUAAAGGGCUCGUAGGCGGCCAACUAAGUCAGACGUGAAAUCCCUCGGCUUAACCGGGGAACUGCGUCCGAUACUGGAUGGCUUGAAUCCGGGAGAGGGAUGCGGAAUUCCAGGUGUAGCGGUGAAAUGCGUAGAUAUCUGGAGGAACACCGGUGGCGAAGGCGGCAUCCUGGACCGGCAUUGACGCUGAGGCGCGAAAGCCAGGGGAGCAAACAGG
rnacentral:rRNA from 1 species